UCUGAAAGAGCAGUUGGUGUUU
rnacentral:miRNA from 2 species